GAGCCUCCAUGCCCGGCCCCCAACAUCUGUCUUGUUCAAAAAAGAGCCAGCAUGUAGACAGGGACGGACCACACCAGGCAGGGCUGGGGAUGCUGGCCAGGAGAUGGGAUCUGAUCAUCAACUGAAAUGUUACCUGGGAGGUCUUCAGAUUGGCUGCCUCAUCUCCUUUCUCUCCAGGGGAUGCUUGCUAGCACAUGGAUCUUACUUCACCUCUUCUGGACAGUUUCCCUUCCCCCUGGCAGCCCUCACCAGGCUUCUGGGAAGUGAGGGGACAUAGGAAAUGGACUUCACACUAUUACUGAACAGAUGAGAGUCCCUGAAGUCAUGGAUUCAUUUCCUUCCUGAGUAGCCUUGUCACCCUUGUUGUUUCUCUCCACAGGUUUCAAGUUGCCCUAGCAUGCAGGAUGAGAUGGCUUCAGAGAGGAUGGGCAGCCCGGUUUCAUCAGAGUGACAGUGGAAAGUACCUUGGGCUUUGUGGUCAGAAGAGCCCAGCUCCAGGGCAGUGUGUUUCCUGAAGCCAUGUGACCUUGAGCAAAUCGCUUUUGUCUUUGACCCUCUGUUUUCUUCUGGGUUAAUGAAAAUAGGGGCGAUGCUUCUUUGCCACAGGUUCAUGACUGCCUGCCACUUCCUCUCUGUUCUCCUGCCUCCUCUGUCUGGAAGACAUGUCCAGUUUCCUCCACUCCUGGAUUCUCCUUGCUUUUGUCCUCAGACCAUCAGAUUCAAGAGAGGCAGUGCAGGUGGAUGGCAAAGGGACCCGGAUACAAAAAGCUGAGUCAGGCCCCGGGCCAGGGCUAACCAUGCGCAGGGCAGAGUCCCUGGGGCUGCAGUUGGUUAUCAUUACUGUUUUCUU
rnacentral:lncRNA from 1 species